rnacentral:rRNA from 1 species
UUUGCGCAGCUUACACAUGCAGUCGAGCGGGGUGAUGGUGCUUGCACUAUCACCUAGCGGCGGACGGGUGAGUAAUGCUUAGGAAUCUGCCUAUUAGUGGGGGACAAAAUUUCGAAAGGAAUGCUAAUACCGCAUACGUCCUACGGGAGAAAGCAGGGGAUCUUCGGACCUUGCGCUAAUAGAUGAGCCUAAGUCGGAUUAGCUAGUUGGUGGGGUAAAGGCCUACCAAGGCGACGAUCUGUAGCGGGUCUGAGAGGAUGAUCCGCCACACUGGGACUGAGACACGGCCCAGACUCCUACGGGAGGCAGCAGUGGGGAAUAUUGGACAAUGGGCGCAAGCCUGAUCCAGCCAUGCCGCGUGUGUGAAGAAGGCCUUAUGGUUGUAAAGCACUUUAAGCGAGGAGGAGGCUACUUUAGAUAAUACCUAGAGAUAGUGGACGUUACUCGCAGAAUAAGCACCGGCUAACUCUGUGCCAGCAGCCGCGGUAAUACAGAGGGUGCAAGCGUUAAUCGGAUUUACUGGGCGUAAAGCGCGCGUAGGCGGCUAAUUAAGUCAAAUGUGAAAUCCCCGAGCUUAAACUUGGGAAUUGCAUUCGAUACUGGUUAGCUAGAGUGUGGGAGAGGAUGGUAGAAUUCCAGGUGUAGCGGUGAAAUGCGUAGAGAUCUGGAGGAAUACCGAUGGCGAAGGCAUCCAUCUGGCCUAACACUGACGCUGAGGUGCGAAAGCAUGGGGAGCAAACAGGAUUAGAUACCCUGGUAGUCCAUGCCGUAAACGAUGUCUACUAGCCGUUGGGGCCUUUGAGGCUUUAGUGGCGCAGCUAACGCGAUAAGUAGACCGCCUGGGGAGUACGGUCGCAAGACUAAAACUCA